rnacentral:rRNA from 1 species
GAGUAAUGUCUGGGAAACUGCCUGAUGGAGGGGGAUAACUACUGGAAACGGUAGCUAAUACCGCAUAACGUCGCAAGACCAAAGAGGGGGACCUUCGGGCCUCUUGCCAUCGGAUGUGCCCAGAUGGGAUUAGCUUGUUGGUGGGGUAACGGCUCACCAAGGCGACGAUCCCUAGCUGGUCUGAGAGGAUGACCAGCCACACUGGAACUGAGACACGGUCCAGACUCCUACGGGAGGCAGCAGUGGGGAAUAUUGCACAAUGGGCGCAAGCCUGAUGCAGCCAUGCCGCGUGUAUGAAGAAGGCCUUCGGGUUGUAAAGUACUUUCAGCGGGGAGGAAGGGAGUAAAGUUAAUACCUUUGCUCAUUGACGUUACCCGCAGAAGAAGCACCGGCUAACUCCGUGCCAGCAGCCGCGGUAAUACGGAGGGUGCAAGCGUUAAUCGGAAUUACUGGGCGUAAAGCGCACGCAGGCGGUUUGUUAAGUCAGAUGUGAAAUCCCCGGGCUCAACCUGGGAACUGCAUCUGAUACUGGCAAGCUUGAGUCUCGUAGAGGGGGGUAGAAUUCCAGGUGUAGCGGUGAAAUGCGUAGAGAUCUGGAGGAAUACCGGUGGCGAAGGCGGCCCCCUGGACGAAGACUGACGCUCAGGUGCGAAAGCGUGGGGAGCAAACAGGAUUAGAUACCCUGGUAGUCCACGCCGUAAACGAUGUCGACUUGGAGGUUGUGCCCUUGAGGCGUGGCUUCCGGAGCUAACGCGUUAAGUCGACCGCCUGGGGAGUACGGCCGCAAGGUUAAAACUCAAAUGAAUUGACGGGGGCCCGCACAAGCGGUGGAGCAUGUGGUUUAAUUCGAUGCAACGCGAAGAACCUUACCUGGUCUUGACAUCCACGGAAGUUUUCAGAGAUGAGAAUGUGCCUUCGGGAACCGUGAGACAGGUGCUGCAUGGCUGUCGUCAGCUCGUGUUGUGAAAUGUUGGGUUAAGUCCCGCAACGAGCGCAACCCUUAUCCUUUGUUGCCAGCGGUCCGGCCGGGAACUCAAAGGAGACUGCCAGUGAUAAACUGGAGGAAGGUGGGGAUGACGUCAAGUCAUCAUGGCCCUUACGACCAGGGCUACACACGUGCUACAAUGGCGCAUACAAAGAGAAGCGACCUCGCGAGAGCAAGCGGACCUCAUAAAGUGCGUCGUAGUCCGGAUUGGAGUCUGCAACUCGACUCCAUGAAGUCGGAAUCGCUAGUAAUCGUGGAUCAGAAUGCCACGGUGAAUACGUUCCCGGGCCUUGUACACACCGCCCGUCACACCAUGGGAGUGGGUUGCAAAAGAAGUAGGUAGCUUAACCUUCGGGAGGGCGCUUACCACUUUGUGAUUCAUGACUGGGGUGAAGUCGUAACAAGGUAACCGUAGGGGAACCUGCGGUUGGAUCACCUCCUU